rnacentral:rRNA from 1 species
AGAAUCAACGCUGGCGGCGUGCCUAACACAUGCAAGUCGAACGAGAAAGUGGAGCAAUCCAUGAGUAAAGUGGCGCACGGGUGAGUAACACGUGACUAACCUACCCUUGAGUGGGGGAUAACCUAGGGAAACCUGGGCUAAUACCGCAUAAUACCUUCGGGUCAAAGGAGCAAUUCGCUUAAGGAGGGGGUCGCGGCCGAUUAGUUAGUUGGCGGGGUAAUGGCCCACCAAGACUGUGAUCGGUAUCCGGCCUGAGAGGGCGCACGGACACACUGGAACUGAAACACGGUCCAGACUCCUACGGGAGGCAGCAGUGGGGAAUUUGCGCAAUGGGGGAAACCCUGACGCAGCAACGCCGCGUGGAGGAUGAAGUCCCUUGGGACGUAAACUCCUUUCGAUCGGGACGAUUAUGACGGUACCGGAAGAAGAAGCCCCGGCUAACUUCGUGCCAGCAGCCGC